CGGACGGGUGAGUAACGCGUGGGCAACCUGCCCUUAUCUGGGGGAUAACAGUUGGAAACGACUGAUAAUACCGCAUAAUAUGGUUUGAAGGCAUCUUCUUUUCCAUCAAAGAUUUAUCGGAUAAGGAUGGGCCCGCGUCUGAUUAGCUUGUUGGUGAGGUAACGGCUCACCAAGGCGACGAUCAGUAGCCGACCUGAGAGGGUGAUCGGCCACAUUGGAACUGAGACACGGUCCAAACUCCUACGGGAGGCAGCAG
rnacentral:rRNA from 1 species